rnacentral:misc_RNA from 1 species
GAUGAAGAACGCAGCGAAAUGCGAUAAGUAGUGUGAAUUGCAGAAUUCAGUGAAUCAUCGAAUCUUUGAACGCACAUUGCGCCCCUUGGUAUCCCGAGGGGCAUGCCUGUCCGAGCGUCAUUUGCAACCCUCAAGCCCGGCUUGUGUGAUGGGUGCCGUCCCCUACGGGACGCGCCCCGAAGGCAAUGGCGGCGUCGCGGUUAUCCGAUCAGCCAAAGUGUAUGGGGCUUUGUCACUCACUUUACGGCCCGGACCGGCGCCAGUCCGAAUCAAUCUUUUUUCUAAAGUUGACCUCGGAUCAGGUAGGGAUACCCGCUGAACUUAAGCAUAUCAAUAAGCGGAGGA